ACGUAGGGUGCAAGCGUUAAUCGGAAUUACUGGGCGUAAAGCGUGCGCAGGCGGCUCUGCAAGACAGAUGUGAAAUCCCCGGGCUCAACCUGGGAAUGGCAUUUGGGACUGCAAGGCUAGAGUGUGGCAGAGGAGACUGGAAUUCCUGGUGUAGCAGUGAAAUGCGUAGAUAUCAGGAGGAAUACCGAUGGCGAAGGCAGGUCUCUGGGCUGACACUGACGCUCAUGCACGAAAGCGUGGGGAGUAAACAGGA
rnacentral:rRNA from 1 species